AGCGUCCGGUGAGGGUGGAGGGAGCCACGAGUUCUUUGCUAGGUGUGCGUGCAGCUCUUUGUGGUUCGGGUGGUGGUGCUGUGUCGGUGUCUUGGCUUUUCUCUUCGCACCCAUGCGGAGGACCUCAGGGUUUUCUGUCACCUCCCUGUCCCUUUAUGUUGUUGGUUGGGAGCGUCACCAUUGAGAAAGGGCGCCCUCCCAUCCCUGGCGGUGAGGCCGGGGAGUCCAGGGCUCUCCUUGGUCUUUGCUAAUGGGUUUGGAGGCAGUAAUUUUUGGAGCAACAAGUUUCGGAUUUAAGUCCCUUGGUGACAUUCUAAUACUGAGCCCUUACCACGUGUUAGGAACUAACUUAGGAAUGUUGGUUGUGGCAGUGAAUAAGUCAGACAAAAAUCCCUGCCCUAAGGGGCUUGCAAUUUAAAGAAAUUUGAAAAGUCGGUGGAAUGCAAAUGGAAAUAAAUCAGAAAAUAUUUUCUGUAUGGUUUGGAGGAAGAGGAAGCCAAGGGGAAUAAAAAAAAAAAAAGACGGUAAAGCGUUUUGGGGGGUUGGGGGAGUCCUAAAAUGUGCAGGGAUGUUGAUGUUUAUGGUCGCAAGACCCACCGCAUGAAAAUUACGAACGCAGUUAGGCAUUUAGGAUUAGUGAAUUUGUGCUCUUGCUAUAAGAUGCGUUUAUUUCUCUCUCUCUCUCUCUCUCUUUUUCAGAGGAAGACCAAAGACUAGGUUGUGGGAAAAGCAAAUAGAAGCCAUGUUUCGGAGACCUGUAUUACAGGUGUUUCAUCAGUUCGUAAGACAUGAGUCUGAAAUAGCCAGCAGCUUGGUUCUUGAAAGAUCUCUGAACCGUGUGCAGCUCCUUGGGCGAGUGGGUCAGGACCCCGUCAUGAGACAGGUGGAAGGGAAGAACCCGGUCACAAUAUUUUCUCUAGCAACGAAUGAGAUGUGGCGGUCAGGGGAGAGUGAAGUAUACCAAAUGGAUUUAGGUGAUGUCAGUCAAAAGACGACAUGGCACAGAAUAUCAGUAUUCCGACCAGGCCUCAGAGAUGUGGCGUAUCAGUAUGUGAAAAAGGGGUCCCGUAUCUAUGUGGAAGGGAAAGUCGAUUAUGGUGAAUACACAGAUAAAAACAAUGUGAGGCGACAGGCAACAACAAUCAUAGCUGAUAAUAUUAUAUUUCUGAGUGACCAGACCAAAGAAAAGGCAUAGAGUGGACGAUUCUUCUUUGGCCAUUGUUUGGUGAGGAAACCUGAAACUGCGUGGUUAAGUAACAUGUCAAAGUCAUGCAGCUUAUAAGAGGCACAGCUGGAGUUUGAGUGUAGUUAACUGUUGCUAAGGGGGUAGAAGCAGACGCCAUUUGGUGGUGCUUCCAGGAAAGCUCCUUAAAUGAUUAGCUCUGUUGGGAGGCUCAUCCUUUGUGCUUCUCCAGACCCUCACCUGGCUUUUUCUGGUCUGAAAUGUGGACAUGAUGGCUGAGAAUCUCCAGUAGCCAUUUUAGACCACAAGACUAUCUGCAGGAUGGAAGAUGGAAGAGGCUGGAGUCCGUGAUGACCAUGGAGCCACCAUCGCGGUCCUGGACAGUCUACCUCUGGACUUCUUUGGGAGACACAAAUAAAUCUCUACCUUGUUUAAGCCACUUAUUUGUGCUUUGCAUUUGAACCUAAUUCUUACUAAUUCACACAUUCUUUAUCUCCGUAUACACAAUUCAUUACUUCAGUUCUUUCUCUUCUAAGACCAUUCACUACUGGUAGAAGUAAAAUAUCACGUCUACUGCCACAGUCUCUCAGACUUUUAACCUAGGUCUCAUUCUUAAUUUGGGGAGGGACUGGGACAUAAAAUGUACGCGGAUCCUUAGCAAAUACCUUAAAAAGGGUAAAUACAAACUUUUUUUUCAUCAAAUAGUUUAAUUUUGCCUGAAGCCUGAAAUGAGGACCCUUAGUUAACAGCCCCUUGUUUACUAAAGUAGCACAUAAAUAAGAACAGAAGUACUGACCUUCUGCUUCUGACAGUAUAGCAGACGAGCUAAUCUGGAGUGAGGAGGUGUCCCACUGCAAAAUAACCAGAUCCUAAGUAUGACAUAGUUUUUAUUGCAUUCUAGGGAAUCUUAAGUUCGGGCUGCCAUAACAAAAUACCAUAGAGUGGGUGAUUUAAACAACAGACGUUUUUGCGAUUCUGGAGGCUAGAAGUCUCAGAACAGGGUGCAGGAUGGUUGGUUUCCUGGGAGGCCCGUGUUGCUGGCUUACAAGUGGCUACCACCUCACCGUGUCCUCACAUGGCCUCCUAUUUGUGCUGGCAGAGCGUGGACUCUCUGGUGUCUCUUAUAAGGACACUAAUGCAGUUGUGUCAGGGCCCCAUCCUUAUGGCCUGGGUUCACUUUAUCUUCUUACUGGCCCUAUCUCAAAAUGUAGUCACAUUGGGGAUUAGACUUCUAUAUGUGAAUGUUGAGUGGACACAGUUCAAUCUGUAGCAUUGGCUUGCAGGAAGAAAGGGACUUCUUCAAGUGACAGGUUCUAAACUAAACGGAAACGAGCAUAAGUAGACAACACACUGAAAAAAGGGAGUUCCCUGAUGACCUGCUAAUAUUGACAUCGUGGUUUGGAGAUAAAAACAAAGGAUAUGUGUCAAAGCUGUGCCUCAAACAGACUUGAAAUUAGAAGAGCAUUUUUCGUAAAAUGAAAAAGGCAAGGAUGUCUUAUCACUACUUCUCUUGGACAGGUUGUUUGUACUGAGGCUUUAGCAAGCAUAGUUGGGAAGGAAAGAAAACGUAUUAAGAUGGAAAGGAAGAAAGUUACAAAUGCCGUGAUUACACAGAAACCAUGAAAGAAAAGAAUCUGUAGAUGAAUAAUUAAAAGUUGCUGGAAAUAAGAUCAGUUUACAAAAGUCAACUGCAAACAGCAGUGAAGAUGCCAUGUACAAGAGCAUCAGAAAAUGAGUCUUCCAAGAGUGUGGUCUCUGUGGAGUACAUUAUGAAACUUGAUUGAAAUACGUUAAAAGAAGACUAAACACAUUGGUAGAUCAUGUUUAUUGUAAGCAUCAAUCAUGUAAAGAUCUCAACCCUCCCCCACAUUGAUGUUACAGAUCAAAACAAAAAUUCCCAGUUUCUUGGGGACAACUGGACAAGUUGACUCUAAAGAUGCGUUGAUACGCAAAGGUCCAAGAUCACACAACAUACUUCUGAAGAAGAGUGAGAUGGGGGACUUGCUCUGCCAGUUGGCAAGCCUUUUUAGAAUGAAAGCUAUAGUGAUAAAAAACUGUUCUAUGGAUACAGGAAUAAACAGGGCAGUGGUGUAGCAAAGAGAACCCAGAAACAGACCAUGCACAUGUAGAAAAGGAUAAAAGUGGCAUAGAUCAGUGGGUCUAGAUUGUUUCAAUUAUGCCAGGGGGAUUUGUUAUCCAUGCAGAAGAAAAUGAAAUCAGAUAUGUACACCUUAUGCAAAGAUCAAUUCUUGGUGAUUUAAAGACAUAUGUGAAAGGCAAAAUGUUAAAAAUUUUGGAAGAAACUAUAAUACAAUGUCUUUAUGAUCUGGUGGCAUAGAAAUUUUCUCUUUUAAACAAAAAUGUAAAUACAGAGAAGAGGGAUACAUUUAACUGUUAAAAAUAACUUGUUUAUAGAAAGUCACUGGAAAGAAAGCAAAAUGACAAGUCACAAACUGGAGAGAAGAUAUUUGCAAUCAUAUAACUGAAAUAUAACU